rnacentral:rRNA from 1 species
AUGCCCACCUUUGCACUCACAGCCCUUGGAGUCCCAAAGAAGUUCUAUAAAGACGUAGGCAAAUCACGGCGGCGCUUCCUCUGGGCAGGGGAUGAAGAGGUGUCCGGUGGAAAGUGCAAUGUGGGCUGGAGCACGGUGACCACGCCCGAGCAGUAUGGUGGUCUAGGCAUUCGUGAUCUACCUCGAUUUGCCAGGGCUCUGCGUCUACGCUGGUUAUGGCAAUCCUGGAAGAACCUGGAAAGGCCCUGGGUUAGAACGGGCACGCCCUGCGACGCCUCGGACAUGGCUUUGUUUGCUGCAUCCACAGCGGUGACCAUUGGCGACGGAGCGACGGCAUCAUUCUGGUUCUGUUCAUGGCUGGGAGGACGACAACUUUGCCAAGCCUUCCCCACUCUCUUUGCCAGAUCCACCAGGAAGAACCGAUCGGUCAAGGACGCGCUGCACGACGACAGAUGGAUCCUAGACUUGAGGCGAGGUGACCCGGAUGUCAUUGCACUGCAGGUGGUGCAGCUUGCAAGGGAGAUCAGGCAGGCUGCUCUCACUCUCACUCCAGGAACCCAAGACUGCAUUGCCUGGAAGCUCAGCGCCUCAUGCUGCUACUCAACAAGUUCAGCGUACAAUGCCCAAUUCAGCAAUAGGCAGCUUACCUCCUUCAAAUCCAUCAUCUAG